rfam:Stegodyphus mimosarum contig18899, whole genome shotgun sequence.
GCCUUCGUGAUGUAGUGGUCAGUACGCUCGACGCGUAUUCGAGAGGUCCGUGGUUCGAUUCCCGGCGAGGAUA